rnacentral:tRNA from 1 species
GGGCUUGUGGUGUAGCUUGGAUAUCACCGAGGCCUCCGGCAGGAACUUGUCCUGGAGAAAGCCUCAGACCCGGGUUCGAAUCCCGGCAUGCCCG